rnacentral:rRNA from 1 species
CGAGCGGCAGCGCGGGGGCAACCCUGGCGGCGAGCGGCGAACGGGUGAGUAAUGUAUCGGAACGUACCCAGUCGUGGGGGAUAACUAUCCGAAAGGAUAGCUAAUACCGCAUACGACCUGAGGGUGAAAGCGGGGGACCUGCAAGGGCCUCGCGCGAUUGGAGCGGCCGAUAUCGGAUUAGCUAGUUGGUGAGGUAAAGGCUCACCAAGGCGACGAUCCGUAGCUGGUCUGAGAGGACGACCAGCCACACUGGAACUGAGACACGGUCCAGACUCCUACGGGAGGCAGCAGUGGGGAAUUUUGGACAAUGGGGGCAACCCUGAUCCAGCCAUUCCGCGUGAGUGAAGAAGGCCUUCGGGUUGUAAAGCUCUUUCGGCAGGAACGAAACGGUCUCACCUAAUACGUGGGGCUAAUGACGGUACCUGAAGAAGAAGCACCGGCUAACUACGUGCCAGCAGCCGCGGUAAUACGUAGGGUGCGAGCGUUAAUCGGAAUUACUGGGCGUAAAGCGUGCGCAGGCGGUUAUGUAAGACAGGUGUGAAAUCCCCGGGCUUAACCUGGGAACUGCGCUUGUGACUGCAUAACUUGAGUGUGGCAGAGGGGGGUGGAAUUCCACGUGUAGCAGUGAAAUGCGUAGAGAUGUGGAGGAACACCGAUGGCGAAGGCAGCCCCCUGGGUCAACACUGACGCUCAUGCACGA